CCCUUCAUUCUUAUGAAUUUGGUCUUUUGAGGUAGUCUAUAUCGGUGGGUGCUGAGGAGAGGACCAGUCUUGUGUCUAGACUGCCGUCAUGUUUACCAAGAAGUUUCCUGUUUGGAACUUACAUUCUAAUAGGGACAAGACAAACAACUUCAUCCAGAGUACAGAAACAACUGACUGAGGUUUCCAUGGUGCCCUGUUGAUGAUCUUUGAAAAAUCUAGAAGAGAAGAUGCUCUGCAGAUUUGGAGAAAGCCAAAUAAUACUAAUAGUCUUCAAAAAUGGGAAAGGAAUACCAUGCAAAUAUGGGCAUUGUAGAAGGGUAGUGGAGGAGGAGAAGGAAAAGGAAGAGGAGGAGGAGGAGGAGGAGGAGGAAGAGAAGAGAGCUUCCCAGAGCAAAGAAGAAAGGUUUCUGUUGCAAUGCCUGGAUAGUAGGAUGGGGUUGAACAAGAAUGGCUAGCUGAACCACACUUGUCAUCACCCUACUUUACCACCGCUAUAGCCAAGUGGCCUCCUUCUUUUCCUCUCAUAUAUUUGAAAAGUAAAUUCUUGCAAUCAUCUUAUUGCAUGCAAACCAUUGUAUAUGUCAUCAUACAUGACACUGCUUACUCACAGUGCCUGACACAUGGAGGUACUUAAUAGAUAUUGAAAGAUUGAUUGAAUAAAUGAAUGAUUGAUGAUAUGUUAUAACCA
rnacentral:lncRNA from 1 species